rnacentral:rRNA from 1 species
GACGAACGCUGGCGGCGUGCUUAACACAUGCAAGUCGAACGGAAAGACCCUGCUUUUGUGGGGUGCUCGAGUGGCGAACAGGUGAGUAACACGUGAGUAACCUGCUCUUGUCUUUGGGAUAACUUCAGGAAACUGGGGCUAAUCCCGGAUAGGAGCUCCUGCUGCAUGGUGUGGGUUGGAAAGUUUCGGCGGUUGGGGAUGGACUCGCGGCUUAUCAGCUUGUUGGUGGGGUAGUGGCUUACCAAGGCUUUGACGGGUAGCCGGCCUGGGAGGGUGACCGGCGACAUUGGGACUGCGAGAGGGCCCAGACGCCUACGGGAGGCAGCGGUGGGAAAUAUUGCACAAUGGGCGGAAGCCUGUGGCAGCAACGCCGGGUGCGGGAUGACGGCCUUCGGGUUGUAAACCGCUUUCGCCUGUGACGAAGCGUGAGUGACGGUACUGGGUAAAGAAGCACCGGCUAACUACGUG